rnacentral:lncRNA from 1 species
CUCCUGAGGAGAAAGAAAGAGAGGGAGGGAGAGAAAAAGAGAGAGAGAGAAACAAAAAACCAAAGAGAGAGAAAAAAUGAAUUCAUCUAAAUCAUCUGAAACACAAUGCACAGAGAGAGGAUGCUUCUCUUCCCAAAUGUUCUUAUGGACUGUUGCUGGGAUCCCCAUCCUAUUUCUCAGUGCCUGUUUCAUCACCAGAUGUGUUGUGACAUUUCGCAUCUUUCAAACCUGUGAUGAGAAAAAGUUUCAGCUACCUGAGAAUUUCACAGAGCUCUCCUGCUACAAUUAUGGAUCAGCUCGUGUCCUCUGUCUCUUGCCUCAGCGCCUGGGUGGCUUGCCGCCCACAUCUAACCCAUCUAUAUACUACAGUAUGGAGAUUUGAUUGAGGAUACAUUGUUUAGGAAUUCCUUUCCUACAAGAAACCUAAAAUGAGAGAGUUUUUUAUUGGACUGUCAGACCAGGUUGUCGAGGGUCAGUGGCAAUGGGUGGACGGCACACCUUUGACAAAGUCUCUGAGCUUCUGGGAUGUAGGGGAGCCCAACAACAUAGCUACCCUGGAGGACUGUGCCACCAUGAGAGACUCUUCAAACCCAAGGCAAAAUUGGAAUGAUGUAACCUGUUUCCUCAAUUAUUUUCGGAUUUGUGAAAUGGUAGGAAUAAAUCCUUUGAACAAAGGAAAAUCUCUUUAAGAACAGAAGGCACAACUCAAAUGUGUAAAGAAGGAAGAGCAAGAACAUGGCCACACC